UGGGGAAUAUUGGACAAUGGGCGAAAGCCUGAUCCAGCCAUGCCGCGUGUGUGAAGAAGGCCUUCGGGUUGUAAAGCACUUUCAGCGAGGAGGAAGGGAGUUGUGUUAAUAGCACAGCUUCUUGACGUUACUCGCAGAAGAAGCACCGGCUAACUCUGUGCCAGCAGCCGCGGUAAUACAGAGGGUGCAAGCGUUAAUCGGAAUUACUGGGCGUAAAGCGCACGUAGGCGGUUUUUAAGUCAGAUGUGAAAGCCCCGGGCUCAACCUGGGAAUUGCAUUUGAAACUGGAAAACUAGAGUGUGUGAGAGGGGGGUAGAAUUCCAAGUGUAGCGGUGAAAUGCGUAGAGAUUUGGAGGAAUACCAGUGGCGAAGGCGGCCCCCUGGCACAACACUGACGCUCAGGUGCGAAAGCGUGGGGAGCAAACAGGAUUAGAUACCCCAGUAGUCCCUGAGCGGGCUGGCAAGGCGCAU
rnacentral:rRNA from 1 species